rnacentral:rRNA from 1 species
AUGCCCAAAGAGCCGCGGAAGGCGUCCUACUCCACCGACAUAAGGGCACCUCCGUAUUGGGUCUCUGCUCGUAGACAAAUCGAUUUUGGGAAGAAGCCGGUGAAGGACAAGGUGAUCACGGAGGUGGCCUCGGCGGUCAAAAGACUAUACUUGUCUGCUGCUGCAGAUACGACUACGGCGUCAGCUUCGGUGGACGGUUCUGCUCCGGUUGCCACUGAUGCACCAAACGCGUUGGAGCAGCUUGUGCUCGCUGGCGGGGGUACCAACAACUCCAACAAUGGGCCCCCUGUUCAGUUUGUUACUGGAGGCCUGGAGGCGUCUAAUGACAUGGCUGGAGCACACCUCAACACCAACUCAGGAGCUCCGGCUGGUCAAAUGAGUGAGCUGAUGGAUAAGGGACCUGGGGAGCACCUCCACUCUAACCUGAGUGCUCCUGGGUCUCCUACUGCUGCUGCUAUGGCGUCUAUGCAGAAGCAGCCGCAGAUGGGGGAUGUACAACCUAUGGAUCAGCCGAAGGCUAAAGCUCAUGGUGGUCGCGAGGGUGCUGCUGCUGAUGGCGUACAACAGCGUGCUCUGGCUACUGCUGGAGUCCAGCGAUGGAAGAGGCUUCAUCGAGAAGAGCAGGAAGAGAAGGAGAUGGUGCAAUCCGCAUGUGCUAAACAUGUGGUUUUUGGCAUCCCCACGCCACCAAACAGCGGCAGCGAGCUCUCCAGUCGCAAGAUGAUUUUUGCUGCCAUGCUUGAGAGUACGGCAGGUAGCAAGAGGCGAUCCCCUGAUGACCAAGAUUUCGUGUUAAGCAUGAAUAGUACUAGUACUGAAAGUCUAGAGGUUAGGGAUUCUAUGGAUGUGAGUAUGAAUUGUAAAAGAGUUUGGUACUAG